GGCGAACGGGUGAGUAACGCGUGAGGAACCUGCCUCAAAGAGGGGGACAACAGUUGGAAACGACUGCUAAUACCGCAUAAGCCCACGGCUCGGCAUCGAGCAGAGGGAAAAGGAGUGAUCCGCUUUGAGAUGGCCUCGCGUCCGAUUAGCUGGUUGGUGAGGUAACGGCCCACCAAGGCAACGAUCGGUAGCCGACCUGAGAGGGUGACCGGCCACAUUGGGACUGAGACACGGCCCAAACUCCUACGGGAGGCAGCAGUGGGGAAUAUUGCACAAUGGGCGAAAGCCUGAUGCAGCGACGCCGCGUGAGCGAAGAAGUAUUUCGGUAUGUAAAGCUCUAUCAGCAGGGAAGAUAAUGACGGUACCUGACUAAGAAGCACCGGCUAAAUACGUGCCAGCAGCCGCGGUAAUACGUAUGGUGCAAGCGUUAUCCGGAUUUACUGGGUGUAAAGGGAGCGCAGGCGGUGCGGCAAGUCUGAUGUGAAAGGCAUGGGCUCAACCUGUGGACUGCAUUGGAAACUGUCAUACUUGAGUGCCGGAGGGGUAAGCGGAAUUCCUAGUGUAGCGGUGAAAUGCGUAGAUAUUAGGAGGAACACCAGUGGCGAAGGCGGCUUACUGGACGGUAACUGACGUUGAGG
rnacentral:rRNA from 1 species